GGAGUGGGUGUGGCCUUGUUGGAAUGGGUGUGGCCUUGUUGGAGUGGGUGUGUCACUGUGGGCGUGGGCUUUAAGACCCUCACCCUAGCUGCCUGAAAGUCAGUAUUCUAAUAGCAGCCUCCAGAUCAAGAAGUAGAACUCCUAGCUCCUCCUGCACUGUGCCUGCCUGAAUGCUGCCAUGUUCCUGCCUUGAUGAUAAUGGGCUGAAACUCUGAACCUGUAAGCCAGCCCUAAUUAAAUGUUGUCCUUUAUAAGACUUGCCUUGGUCAUGGUGUCUGUUCACAGUAGUAAAACCCUAACUAAGACACUAGUCCUGGAUUUUUUUUUUUCUGCUUUCUCUUUUCUUUUCUUUCAUUCUUUUUCUUUCUUUUGGGAGGCGGGGAGGAUAUCUCUGUGUAGCUUCUACAUCCACUGGGGUUAUAGGUGUGCCCCACUCAGCUGGAAGGCCCUCUUGUAUCUUAAAUCUUAUAACACGAUUUGGGCAGUUAGACAAAUGAGCACAUGGAGCUGAUAGUUUAAAACAAGAGGCCAGUACCUGCAGGCCCACUGACCUCCUGUUUCUGCUCUCCAGCUAGGCCAUCUGCCCACUCCCAGUAUGCUUUGAAAAUGCAUGACAUGAAACCGUACCAAAAGAGAUUGGCCUUUGGAAGGUAGGAAAAUCCAUCCAUCUGAAACUGAUUUAAGUAGAGUUUUUAAGUUCAUUUAGUUCUUCUUCGUUGUUCAAUAAGCCAGAAAAUGGCAGUGAUAGCCAUGAGUAAAAUUAGAGCAGCCAAGGGAAAAAACGUUAAUUUUACUCAUUAUUUUCUUUAAACAUGUUUUAUAAGAAUCUAUUUUAAUCUGUCAGGUCAUUAAAUAUAGUUAAAUCAAUUUGUGUAUAAACAGAGGCUAAGUAGAUCACGGGAGAAAGGCACUAAAAUACCUCCUACAUUUUAGGGCAUGUAGCUUUCUUAACAACAAAGAGAAAUUACAUUUAUAAUGAAGUGAAGUUGUGAUUAAAAUGAAGUGGGAAAAGACUCCAACACAGAACACAAAAGGUUCUUAAAAGUCCUAUUCAUUCAAAGCCAUUGAGAGACUUAGAUCCCAAAAUACCACUAAAGGGCCAAUCACUCCCCACAAUUCUUAGCUGAGCAUGUGGGAUACAAUAAACGCUGUUAGUCACUGUCAGCAGAGGGGAUCAUUUACAUAUGAUUUACAUACAAUCUUUUAGCAGGCAGAUUAAGGCAUUCACAAGUCUAAUCUUUUUUCUAAAAGGGGAUCCACUGACAAGUGGAUUGUUUGCAUUAUGUCAGACUUACAUCAGCUCUUGCCCCUGCCUCUAACCACUGAAUAUUAGCAAGCUAAUAGAUUGUCCUUUUGAACUGUAUAUUAAUAUUCUGAUCAGGAAAAGGAGGCAUGACAAUAUUUGAUUUUGAUCACUGCUCUUUGCAUUGGUCAGCGAGUAGAGGGCUGAGUCUGGUUCUCCCCUGGAAAAAGUCGAUGUUAAGAAACUGUAAAGCACAUUAUGUAUGAAAGGGAAACAUGCCCUGUAUGAAUUAGUGUCAGUGUAGAGCUCGCUAAUGGACAUAAUCUAUUUGAUGAGCUUAUCUUACUCCAUAUAUUCUUGCUAUGAUCAUCUACUUAUGUACUCGCUGAUUCAUUUAUUCUGACUCCUGCAAAUGAUUUUGGAAGGCACUCGUGCACAUCCAAUAUAUUAGCUUAGAGGCAAGUACUUUUAGAGGCAAUCUCUUGUGCUUGUAGGGAAUGGAAAAGAGAGACGCUGCCCCUUUAGAUGACUGGUAAUGUGCCUGCAGAGUUGUAUUUGUUUCAAAUAAGACCCCCAGAAAAACUGUAACGAGUGAGCUGCUAGCAACAUCGAUACAUCUGUAUCUUUCGACCAUGUUGGAAUUCACAGAAUAACAAUAAAUCACAGUACAUUGAUUCUUUUCCCCCAGCUUUCACUCACCAAGUGUUCAUUACUCCCUUAGAACUUAUAGCCUUGGUACAAACACAAGUUCUCACACCCCAAUUGCUAAUACCAACUCUCAAUCACAGAUUGAGCUUCCCAAUCCAAAGGUGCACAGCAGCUAAGGAAGGGUUAAAGCAUCCUCACAAUUCAAGGGGGUUGAUACAUAAUAUAUCCUGCAUUGGACUGUGACUGAGGUCAAAGCGUAGACUGGAUUUGUCUUGCUCACCUGGGUGAGUCUCAAAAUCAUGUACGAAGAGGGAAUUGGAAUGUGGUUGUAUAUAUGGAGUACUCAACUGGGGAACGUUUGCUUACACCCACAGGUUGCUGACAGAUACAAACUUUUUUUUUCUUUUUUUCGGAGCUGGGGACCGAACCCAGGGCCUUGCGCUUUCUAGGCAAGCGCUCUACCGCUGAGCUAAAUCCCCAACCCCAGAUACAAACUUUUAAAGGACAAAAUUACAACCAUUCUAGCUGUGUGGAUCUCAAUGGCUUUGGUUUGUGAUUCUAGAACUGGGCAGCCCUCAGAACACAAACAGGGCUGGGAAGCUGCUUUGGACUUGUUGGUUUGAAGGCGAUUGUAAACAGAAGGCAGACAUAAGAAAAGGCUGCCUUUCAGAAUGCAUGCAAACGCUGGCUUAAGGAAUGUAAGUCAACAGGUUGCGUUUUGUUACUUCGACUCAUAAUUGACUCCAUCUCUGCACUCAGAGGGUGUGUCCUCAGAUGCUGGUCCACCUGCCUCCUGGAGACUCUGCUGGCCUGUCGCUCCAGGCUUGGGGCUCCCUCCGACUCAAAUGCAGGUUUGCAGAGAUAACUGGGGUUUUCCACAACAAAAGCUGAGGCUGGUGGCAGAGACAAAUCGGGAACCAAGGGACUGAUUAUUAAGGACAUCAGAAGGGAGCAACAUAAAAUUAAAACUCAGUGGAUUUGGGGCAGAUCACGUGCCAGCUCCCACAGAGUUCCUUUCAAAAACCACUCUGCUGUAUGUGAUUAAUACGAACACACUGGAUCCAAGAAUGCUCUGGACUCAGUCUCCGUACAAGGCCCCUGCUCGGGCCUGGGCCACCUUAAGUGAUCUUUCCAAGCCACACUACCCGCCUUUGGGGUCCUUUUACCUGUGUGGGAAGAUGCAGACAGUGUCUGCUCUGCUCUAUACAGGUUUGGGAACCCCUGUUGGAACUCCCCUUCCAGCUAGGCCUUCUAAGGGCAGUGGGUUUAUUUCUACUAUAGUUCCUACUUCCUCCACUCACACACCCGGCAGGUUACUAAUUGCUUUCAGAAAUAAAAAUUCAGAGGUCUCAAAAAAAUGUGCCGAUUACCGAUUAACUCAACCAUGUGUUCGUGCCAUCUACUCACAAGGUCCUUAUCAGAGUCCUGUAGGAAUAUUUAAGCAUUCCUUCUUCUAGGUCUUUAUAGGGCCUUUUCAAACUCUGUGUAGCACCCUAAGUCCUCCCACGCACACCAAGAACCUAGACACCCCUUGUUCCAAUGCUGGUAGCUCACAUUAUCCCCUUGCUGACCGACCCUGCAUCUUCUUUCCCGUUCUAGGGAAAUGGUUUGAAUUUGGCCCCAGCACAGAGCUUAGAGAUGGAACCUGUGACAAGGCCUUGAGAUUUAGCUUCAGGAAAUCCCAACUCUUGAUUGCAUAAUUAUAAUAUAAGAGAAUCAUAACAAUAUGUUGUAACGAAGUUUAAUGACAGCGUAUGAAUUAUGUCUGAAAUGUCCCAUUUGAUAUUGUCAGACCAUGGUUGACCGUGAACUGAAGCUUUGAAAAGCAACGCUAAGGGCGAAGAGCGAUUGCUUUUACUUGAUCUUUAGAGGCCGAGUUAGCUAUGGCCAAGCCAAAGAUCUGAGAGCCAAAGCCAAUCCAACAGGAAAUGGGGGCGGGGCCAGCUCCUGAAGCAUCAUUGCAACCCAGGGCACUGUGCUGAGGCUUAUGUUAAUGCAGUAGGAAGAUCAAGCAAGCUCUCGGAGCCUCAUUUCUACUGUGCACCCGUUUGGCACUGUGCCAAACUGCCCUGGCCUCUGACUUAAACUGCAGACAGCAGUGACUUCCCGUCCCAGCUCCUUUGACUAGCUUUCUCCGUUUGCAAAGGGCCCGGACCACUCUCCAAUCAGCCUGGGUCUUCCUAGGGUCCUUCUCUGUGCCAUCUCACCCGCCCUCUGUGCUCACCUUCAUCAGGUGGCCUGCCUCCCGCUCCCCAGGAACCAGGUCCCCAGCUUCCCCCGUCCCACCUACCCACACCUGCCACAACAACUGAGUUGUCACAAAAGAUGUCCCUCCUCUUGGCAGAGAUCUCCCCGCCUCUGCUCCGGAUCCUGCAUCCGGGCCCUCCCCUUGAACUUGGCCUUGUCAAUCACCCACUCUCUUCCUUUUAACUUCAGGUUUCUCAGCUCAGUGGUCUCUUUAUCUUCAAAGUAUCGACUUAGGAGGGGAGGAAGGGAAAGGAGGAGAGAUGGAAGGGAAGACGUUCCUUCUUCCAGAAGACCGGCCCUCCAUCCUUUUCCUUCCCACGGUUUACAGCACCCUCUGAGCUUGUCCGUUCUCAUCAUCCACCCAACUUCCCAGGCUUCUGCAAUUAGGAUUCUGCCCCGUUGUUUUUUCCGGAUCUGCCAAGUUGCAGUAGCCUACUUUCAGCUUCGCUCUUCUUUCACAGUCAGCCUUGCUGAUUUCUCCUCCUCAGCAUGGCCUGGCAGGCAGCCCCUCCCGGAUCUCACUACUCCAGCCCAGUGGCUCUUCCUUGGCUCUCUGUCCCUCGAGCCUUUGUCAGUUCACAAAGCCUGUUGACAUGCUGGCAAAAUCCACCGUUGGUUUCCCUAGAAACAGCCACUUCGUAUGGUGCCGGUCCAGAUCCUCAGCAACAGACGGCAGCAACCCGAGAAGACAGGCAGUUUGCAGAAGUACUAAGCAGGGUGGGAUUGUCAGAAAUUCAACAGCUGAACUGGCCUGAAUCUGCGUAAGGAGAAAGCUUCCAGAUCAGAACCUACCAUCCAGUUGUUGACAGAGAAAAGCUGUCCCUCCUGGAGUUUGUGCUAGCGACCUGUGGACCAAUCUCCCACAUCACCUCUACCAGUGAGAGGUAUGCCUGGAGGUGUGUUUCCUGGGUGAUUUCAGAUCCUGUCAGGUUGGCAAUCAACAGAAACCAUCACGUUUACAGACAAAAUUCAGAAACCAAAGCUCAAGAACCAAGUUUCAUGUGCUAAUAUCUCAAGAGCUUCAGAAAGUCUUAUGCACAAUAAGAUGCCAGAGAGACGUUGUGGCUAACACCUAUAAUCCCAGCACUUGGAAGACUGAGGCAGGAGGAUUGUGGUACAGAGAAAUCCAGCCCCACAAUGCAAUCAGGAAACGAGUACAGCUAUACAGCAGUUGGACACGCAAGCUGUGAGAAAAUGAUAUCUAUUUUUAUGUGCCUAUUUCAUUACUGUCUAUGGGUCUGAUAAAGUUAAGCUUUUCUGUGUUUUUAAAUGCUGUGAUUGAACCCUGGCAUCAGUAUUAGGACUCUGAUCAGCUUGGCUGCAAGUUCGGGGCCUCUCAGACCCUCCACUCAGGUUUGAAAAUUCGCCAGAAUGACUAAGAGGAGCUCCGAGGGAACUACAUAUGCUACUGCAGUUCUAAAAAUGGACACAUGCCAGGGCAGCCCCUCUCAGGAAGGAAGGCCACAUAACCCCAGGACACUGGAGUGCUCUCCAACUCCGAAGCUCAGGGCUGGUUGACAUGUGAGCUCACGGAUUGUGGCAGCAUACCCAGGGCCUGCCUGCAAGGGUCUGUACCAGAUAGUAAGCAGCAGAAGUGAGCAUCUCUAACCAGAAGCUAUCUCCAACUGAUAGCCAUUCACAAGUGAACAAUUACCUUUCUCCAAUGGCCUCGAUGCGUAUAUUGAGCCAUGCCCAGCAAUAAAUGGGCAACACCAGUUGAAUCAAUGGUAGAAGACUUUCCCUCUUGGAGUGUUUUGUUCUGCCAUUUUUUUGUCUUACUGGUCUCUUUUGCUUGUCUAUGGUUUCUGAUUUUGUGGACUUUAUGGAUUUUGUUUGCUGUUGUGUGUUUCUUAUAUUAUGUCUCUCUUAUAUUUUUUGUUUGUUUGCCUGUUUAUCUUCUAAAGAGGGAGAGAGAAAGGGUGGGGAGGAUCUGGGAGGAGUUGGGAAAGGGCAAAGAGUGAUCAGAAUGCAUUGUAUGAAGAAGACAUUUUCACAAUUAAAAAUAAUUUUUGGUAAAAUUUCA